AACGAACGCUGGCGGCAUGCCUAAUACAUGCAAGUCGAACGAGAUCUUCGGAUCUAGUGGCGCACGGGUGCGUAACGCGUGGGAAUCUACCCUUGGGUUCGGAAUAACUUCUGGAAACGGAAGCUAAUACCGGAUGAUGACGUAAGUCCAAAGAUUUAUCGCCCAGGGAUGAGCCCGCGUAGGAUUAGCUAGUUGGUGGGGUAAAGGCCUACCGAGGCGACGAUCCUUAGCUGGUCUGAGAGGAUGAUCAGCCACACUGGGACUGAGACACGGCCCAGACUCCUACGGGAGGCAGCAGUAGGGAAUAUUGGACAAUGGGCGCAAGCCUGAUCCAGCAAUGCCGCGUGAGUGAUGAAGGCCUUAGGGUUGUAAAGCUCUUUUACCCGAGAUGAUAAUGACAGUAUCGGGAGAAUAAGCCCCGGCUAACUCCGUGCCAGCAGCCGCCGUAAGAC
rnacentral:rRNA from 1 species